AUUAGGAAUCCGCAGAUAAAGCGGCUUUCCCCUCAGAAGGAGCACUCUGUGCAGCGUUUAAAGAGCUUGAGGUAAUUAAGUACAUUUAUACAAUUUGAGGUGUUUUUUUUAUAGGAUAGAGAAUUAAUGAAUGCACGCUUUACCCUUCAUAUGCUUAUUUACUCUGCGUUAAUGCAUGUUGGUCUAUCUGUUCUCGCUCUAAGUCAUUUUGGAAUGCUACAACUGUUUUCCCUAUGAAUGUGAUACUCUGUUCAGAUGCUCUGCUUGUCUGUUCCCGGGUCUCGGGGGGGCUCAUCUGGUGUUUUUGUUUCCCAGGGAUUCACUGGAGAGAACGCGCCUCAAGUUCUCCCUCCAGGGGGGAAAGGUCACGGCCCUCUGUCUCCAGGAGGGGGAGCAGGUGUGGGCCCUCAACAUUAAAAGGGCUCUACUGAGCAUGCUCCAGACCUCCCGCAUGGCCUCCAAACAGGAACUAGAAAAGGAGGUGAGGGUUGAUGAGGGCUGUGUUUUAUCUUUUAACUGCCAAGUUUGCAAACUCACAGCAACUCCCUUGUCUUUAUGGAGAUUUCAAGUGCAACCACUUCUUCUCAACUGACAAUACAACCUCUGCUCCUGCUACAAACAAUAAUUGUCAUCAAGAUCUUGUCAUAAUAUGGUGCAUUCACAGGGUGAUUAUCUGACUUUUUCUUUAAUGCCUCUUUCUCAGACGGACCUGUACGGGACGUGCACCAGCAGGUAUGAGAGGCGAGGACCAUUACUGCUGAAGAGCAGGGAUCUACAACAAUGCUACCAAUCCAGGCUGGCAAACUUCUGGCCCCAUUCAGUACCUUUAACUGCAGAUACAUCGGUGCAUUCAGAGCUGCACUGUCUUCAGAGGCAUGGAUCUACAGUGAUGCAAGAGGUCAACUGCACCGAAACCGUUUCCAUGGCAACAUGGUCCAGGACUGCAGGGCUGGUGAAGACCCAAACAGUGUCUACCCUGCUCCUGCUCAGAGCCCAGCCUGGGACUCCUUCAGGCACAGACUCUUUAGGCGUCGGUGUGCUAACUGACCUGCAGUUUGAAGACGAGGGAGCUGAGAAGCCGGGGAAAGGUAGAGCAUCAACACCUCAACAAGCCAGUCAAACUGUCCGGGUGUUAUGUAGCCUUACCUCAGACCCACAACUGGUGUCACAAGAAUUCCUUCAACUGGCUUUCCAGCUGAGAGAUCUGACCCUCUCUCAGCUCAAGGCGCUUUGGCAAGAGGCAUCUUUCAAGUGCCGCAAUGACUGGCAGCCUUUGUUAGAUGCAUUACCAGCAUGUGGAUCUGAAAACUGCAUCUUAUUGCUGACUGACCUAAUGAAGAGCAGAGAGCUGGAGGAGGAGCAGGCUCACGCAUUUCUCUCCACCAUUGCCCUUAUCCCCCACCCGUCGCCACAAAUCGUCGACUCCAUCAAUGUAGGAACUUCUUGGUUACGUUAAUGAUGAGCAAAGUCUCCCAUCAAAGCUACUUUCUCAAUUCACUCACAAGAUAUAUUAGUCAGCACGAGUGAAUGAUACGUAUAGCUCUUCCUGUUCCUCUGCUGUCUUGGUUAGGUCUUACUGGAGGUCCCAGAGUUGCGGUCCAAGGCGCUGUUAGCUGGAUCAUGUGUGGUCUAUCAGUUGUGCCGGAGGUCUCAAGCCUCCUGCAGUGAACUUUCUCAGGUUCAGACCUUCAUACAAACGCUUCAAAAAACCCUGAUGGAGGGCAGCGAGGGAGAGCAGUCCACUCAGAGACGUACAGUAGGUGCACUUCAAAUCACGACACUGAACUGUGCGAUUCGAUGUCCCCGGAACGCAUGUUUUGAAGCAAUCUUACAUAAACAAUGCCUCAUUUGGACAUAAUGUGUCACCCAACAGCUUUUUUAUGCACUGAAAUCAGUGGGAAACAUGGGUCUGUCUGCCCCAGCCUUCAUUCCUCUCCUAAACCGCUUCAUGCUCGGACACUCAACUGCGCUGAAGCUGAGGCUCGCUGCCGUCCAAGCCUUCAGACGCUUUCCUUGCUCAGCUGAUGUGAGUCAAAACUAAUACAAGUCAAUGGUCUUCAUGUCACAGACGCUAACUUUGUGUGUGACAUAGUAAUUGAUUCAGGAUGAGUUGAGGUGGAGGUGAAGAGGUGGGUGUCAGUCUAGCAUCAGUGACUGACAGCGGUUUCCUUCCUUUAGAGAUCUGUGCUGUUGCAGCUGUACCGGUCCUCCCAGGAGGAUCCCGAGGUCAGAAUCACAGCAUACCAGCAGCUCAUGCGCUGCCCUGAUCUGGACGUGUUUGAAGUGGUGAAGAUGACGCUGAGGGGCGAGACGUCCAGCCAAGGUCUGCCUAGACUGCUGUGGUUUGUAGCGGGGAUGCCCGUAACAGUAUGAGAAUGUUUAGUCAUGUUUCAGUGAGCUAUGUAAGUCCCCUGCCAGUCAUGAUAGUGUUUCUGCUCUCAUUGUCAAACAGGUGAAACAAGACUAAACAUUGGCUCCAGUUGUUUGUUUAUAGAAAGUUCUUGAUCUAUGUUGUUGCCUGUGUAAACCGAUUGGAGUCUACCAUGUUUUUCUGAAGUGCUUGAAAAUGAUAUAUGAAAGGAUGUCAUUUUACAAAUAAAAUGCAAUUCCAGGAGGGAACUCACCACAAAAGGACACUCCAGCUGGCAAACAAAUAAUUGUAAACACUUCAUGAGGUUACCAAGUCUCAUGUUAUUUAUGUUGCACCUUUGUGGUGGUGUUUGCUAUAAUGACUCUUUUCGUACUUGUUCAUCCUCUCGUUCUGUUUGCCAGUAUAACCAUAUACGCUCUUCUGCUUCUUCAGUGGGCUCGUAUGUGUGGAGUCACCUGACCAACGUCCUGAGGAGCGAGGACCCCAUGAAGCAGCCACUAAUCGAGUCACUCCCUGAUGAUAUUAUCAGCAGGGACUUUGAGGCUGAGUUUCUGAAAUACUCUUCCUAUUCAGACUACACUGUUUCAUCCGGUAGCGGCGGCUUCCCUUCAGCUUCAAUUUAAGUAAAAUAACAUUCGUGCCCGUACUUUCCAUGAUUCAAAAAACACUUCUCUGCUUUUUUUGUUUCAGGCAUGGGAGUCACAAACGUGGAGACGUCUUUGGUUUUCUCUCCCAAAUCGUUUCUACCCAGAUCAGCCACUGCCAACCUGACAGCAUAUUUUUAUGGUAGAGCCCACAACCUCCUGGAAGUGAGUUUGAUUUCGAUUCAACUGUUAUUCCUAAAGUCAUAUUAGUGGCUCACAAUACUGUGUCACAGUCAUGUUUUUUUGUUCCCCAACUCAGGUCGACCUUCACGUUGAAAACGCCGAGCCGCUUUUGAAGAACAUUUUCAGUCACUCUGAUGGAGAGUCUGCAGAUGAAAGUCGAAAAGAUGUGCGGUCCGAAGAGGAGAGGAGGACGAGAAGGAGAACAGAUGAUGGCCACAGAGGAGACAGAGAAAAAUGUUUGUCCAGCACCAACAGUUACCUGGACAAGGCCAGGGCCAUGGUGAGGUCACUGUGACUGUUGUGAGACAGUCGUCUCUACUGGGCCGGUGUCUUAGGUGAAGAGGCAGGGCAGCAGGUUUCAGAUCCAAGCUUGGUCAGAUUGGAUAAGACCCGAC
rnacentral:lncRNA from 1 species